rfam:Clostridium sp. CAG:167 genomic scaffold, scf109
ACGAGGAGGAACCGUUAUGCGCAUAGCGCAUAAUUAAAAAUCGGUUCCGACGACCUGCCGCCGGGCAUAAGCACGGGGGCAACACAGAUU